rnacentral:rRNA from 1 species
AGAGUUUGAUCCUGGCUCAGGACGAACGCUGGCGGCGUGCUUAACACACGCAAGUCGAACGGAAAGGCCCUUCGGGGUACUCGAGUGGCGAACGGGUGAGUAACACGUGGGUGAUCUGCCCUGCACUUUGGGAUAAGCCUGGGAAACUGGGUCUAAUACCGAAUAGGACCGCGCUCUUCAUGGGGUGUGGUGGAAAGCUUUUGCGGUGUGGGAUGGGCCCGCGGCCUAUCAGCUUGUUGGUGGGGUAAUGGCCUACCAAGGCGACGACGGGUAGCCGGCCUGAGAGGGUGACCGGCCACACUGGGACUGAGAUACGGCCCAGACUCCUACGGGAGGCAGCAGUGGGGAAUAUUGCACAAUGGGCGCAAGCCUGAUGCAGCGACGCCGCGUGAGGGAUGACGGCCUUCGGGUUGUAAACCUCUUUCAAUAGGGACGAAGCGCAAGUGACGGUACCUAUAGAAGAAGGACCGGCCAACUACGUGCCAGCAGCCGCGGUAAUACGUAGGGUCCGAGCGUUGUCCGGAAUUACUGGGCGUAAAGAGCUCGUAGGUGGUUUGUCGCGUUGUUCGUGAAAACUCACAGCUUAACUGUGGGCGUGCGGGCGAUACGGGCAGACUAGAGUACUGCAGGGGAGACUGGAAUUCCUGGUGUAGCGGUGGAAUGCGCAGAUAUCAGGAGGAACACCGGUGGCGAAGGCGGGUCUCUGGGCAGUAACUGACGCUGAGGAGCGAAAGCGUGGGGAGCGAACAGGAUUAGAUACCCUGGUAGUCCAA